AGGACCGUAAUUUAUAAAAAAUAUUUAAUUUGCACUUAAAAAAAGCCCCCGGGUCUGUCUUA
rnacentral:tRNA from 1 species